rnacentral:rRNA from 1 species
UACGUAGGGGGGCAAGCGUUGUCCGGAUUUAUUGGGCGUAAAGAGCGUGUAGGCGGCCAGGUAGGUCCGUUGUGAAAACUCGAGGCUCAACCUCGAGACGUCGAUGGAAACCAUCUGGCUAGAGUCCGGAAGAGGAGAGUGGAAUUCCUGGUGUAGCGGUGAAAUGCGCAGAUAUCAGGAAGAACACCCGUGGCGAAGACGGCUCUCUGGGACGGUACUGACGCUGAGACGCGAAAGCGUGGGGAGCGAACAGG